CAUUUCCCUCCAUUUAAUUAAAAGAAAGAAAGAACAAAAGCGACUUCAUAUUUUCUUCUUCCUCUCUUGCUGUACGACUCUUUCUUAUUCUUUUUCAUUUUUUCGUCACCACCACCACCAACUUCCGGUCAACAUAAAUUUUCCGUCCGGCCUCCUUUAAAAUCCCCGCCACCACCAUUGAAUUCCUCUCUUCUUCCUCUACAAAAGCCCUCAAUUUAUUUAUAGAUUGGAGAAGUUUAAUUUUUGAGAUCUCCCCCUUCUUUCUUGUUUUCCGGCCACCGUGAGUUGCCAUUUGGAAAACCAAACCCACCAUAUUCUUUCUCAUGAUGUCAGCAACAAAACCCCUAUGUUUAUUUUGCAAUCGGAGCAACUUUGUCGGCGGCCACUGUGCCGGAGUUCACCUCUACCGCGCCGGAAAAGUGGUUGACGGCCAUUUACUCCAUUUUUCUCCUUCGUGAUGAGUUUCAUCUUCAUUCCCUCCUCUAAAGUGCAUUGGAAUUGGUAUUGUAGAUUUGGAUGGGGCUUGAAUUGGUCAUCUUAUCCUAGGUGUAGUGAUGCAAUGCUUUGCUGCUCUGCUUUGAAGGGAUGUAUUUGUGGCUUUGACAGGAUAUAGUAUAAUUAUAAGUAGCUGAGUUAGGAAUAUUGUAUGUUGUCAUAUUGUUUGUAAGAGUUGAAUCAAUGCUUGUAAAAGGGAUUUAUGUCUACUAUAAUGUAAAACUUUCUUAUUGAAUAAAUUUAGUGACUUUUGUUCUGGAAA